rnacentral:lncRNA from 1 species
GUUUUUAUACAAAGUCAAAGGAAACUUGGAGCUCUGUUGAUCAUAUUUUUAUGACCAGAGAGUUUUUGAACAAAGCCUUACAUAUAUUAUAGCCAUUUGUUACUACCAAGUACCAUCGCGAUGGGUCAUCUCUUAUCCUGUUACAUGCGUCGCAAGAAGGGUGAGCUGACGUCAUCUCCGCCGAAGAAUGGCGUCAAAAAGGGUAAUUUAACGACGCUGGGCACGAAAGAUGGAGAUCUUGUUUUCAUGGCGUCCUCGAGAAAGAGUAAGAAGACCUCCAGAGGCUGUUGUUGGGGCGGAGAAGGAGAUGGAGGUGGUGGUUGCGGUUGCGGCGGCGGUUGCGGAGGUGGGUGUGGAGGCGGCGGCGGUUAAAAGGUAAAAAUUAUAGUUCUGUAUAAUGUAAUGCUAUGUAUGAUUUCUGGUGCGUGUGAUUUCUUUUGUACAUGUAAGAUUUCAGGUGUGAUGUGUAAUAUACACCAAUAACUC